CUCCCCCCGCCCCCCGCAGCCUCUCCGGCCUCCCCCUGGCUCCUCCCGGGGCUGGAAUUGGGACACUAUGGACGCAUCCCGGCUUCAGAGGCGUCGAGGUGUGACCACCUGCGCAGUGUGGCCUCAGGUAGACACAGCACCAUGUCCCCCUCUUGGGGCUUCUCUCCGGCUGCCCAGGGACCGGCUCCUCCUCGGGGUGCACGGGGGGCCCUGAAGCUCCAGGUCUGCGCCCUCUCGGCCUCCUGGGAUCAUUUCCUGCCGGGCUCUGACUCUGCAGAGAAGCCCAGGAUCCUGCAAGACCGAUGGGAACCCACAGCGCCCGGGAAGGAGCCGGGUGGGGUAAGCAGAGCUGGCGCAGACCCACCGUAGGGCCAGGAAGAAAUCAGGAAUAAGCAAAUGGAAUCCUAAUCUCACCAGAUCAAAGAUCCCUCACCCCGUGCCGCCGAGGGCCAUGUGUUAGGUUUCCUUCGGUCCUGGCACCGAGCCGUGAAGACGAGUCCCCCGUCUACUCCUGUUGGUCAAGGCCCUGUUUAACACGCAGGACCAGCCUGUGCCUGAACCUACUCGAUGCCUGUCAAGGGGUUUGGCCUCAGGACCCUUCUCGUCAAGAAACGUUCGGCAAAAUGUGGAAGUAGAGAAAUGUGUGCGGAAUCGAGUCAACCAGUAAGAGUUGUGUGUGCAUUCAGUGGUUGGGUUCCCGCCAGAGGUUUUUGUUGAGAAAUUAGAGUGAAAGGAAGGAGGGCAAGAGAAUAAGACAACGCUGAUGAGGAACCGAGAGGCCCUGUAUUUGUCCAUCCCUUCGCAGGACCUGCUGACUCUGCCUGUCCCCAGCAGCCUUAAGACCCUGCCCUGGGACUGGAGCGCCCUUUGCCAAAUGGAGGUUUUUGUCCCUCUACCUGAUGAGCGACGUGAGGUGCUCCUGAGAGUGCAGACACCGGCGCCAGGGCGGCCGGUCCACACGCUCCUGCUCAUCCCGGCGGCAGGCCUUCCUUCCGUGGUGCUGGGGGCCACGCUGGAAUGAGGUCAGUUCACUUAUAUUUUAAAUUUAAAUUCAAUUAACAUACAAUGUAUUACUGGUUUCAGAGGUAGAGGUCAGUGAUCCAUCGUCUUGUAUCACACCCAGUGCUCAUCCCAUCACGUGCCCUUCUUCAUGCCCAUCCCCCAGUCACCCAUUCCCCAGUCACCCAUUCCCCAGUCACCCCAUUCCCCGACACCCCCCCAGGGACCCUGUUUGUGUUAUGUGAUUAAGAGUCUCUUAUGGUUUGUCUCCCUCUCUGCUCUCGUCUUUUUAUUUUUCCCUCCCUUCCUCCGUGUUCAUCUGUUUGUCUCUUAAAUUGCACAGGAGUGAGGUCAUCUAAUUGUCUUUCUCUGACUUAUUUCCCGCAGCGUGACCCACCCACGUCGACCUACGUGGUAGGCCCUCGCCCGUCCUGACGGCUAAUACUCCAUGUACAUAUACAGCCCCCCUCAGAGUAUGGACUUAGGUCGUUUAAACAGUAUUGGUUAGAAGGGAUUGAAAACGCAGGCCCAGGGAGUAGUAAGCAAACGAUUCCCGGGGAGAUUCACGGUGGGAGCAUUUGGAUCUAGCGACGGCCUGGUGACGACCACCUGCUGGCCCAGGCCACGGGGCCUCACACACGGAGUGUCCCACUGAGAGAUGAGAAUCCUGCAGCCCGUCCUGGGCCGAGGCCCCAGGCGUUUUGCAGAAGCAAGGUUCUCCGCCUCGUGCUGGGACCUCGAGGUUGAGCUUCCUCGAGUCUCUGGCUCGUCUUCGUCCCGCCCAGGAUGGAGGCUGGCGGCAGGGCUGGCGGUGGUCCUGGUCCCCCGGGUGCGGCGGCGGCAGCGGCGUCCCUAACGCUGUCCGGCUUCGCUGUGGGAAGGAAACACCGCCAGGGAGCGGGGCCAACGGCCCAGGCUGCGGUGCUAGAGCCCGUGAGGACCCCUCAGCCGGGAGGGCCGCCGGGUCCCUCCUGUGACACAAGCUGGUGCUAGAGCCCCGUUCCAGCUCUGCUCUCCCGGAUACUAACGCUUUGCUUUGUGUUCAGCUUGGGCUGCAAGCGGGCCCGAGAGGAAGAGCAACUCAAGGGCCGGUCAGAGGCAGGUUCGCUCACCCAGGCCCCCGGGGCCGCCCCACCCACAUUCCCACACACUUAUUUCACGGGGUCACUUCUUCUGGUGACGAAGCACCAUCACUAUUGGGAACCCAGGCUCUGACGAGGACGGUCGCCAUGGGGACCAUUGGAAGGAGAACGUCCCGUGCUCGCCCGUCUGCGAAACGUCAGGCACCUGUGUCACUCUCCCACCUCGCGGGGGGGCACGCGGGAGGUGCCAGGCCGGGGCCUGGACGUGGCGAUGCUGGGGGGAGGCAGGUGGCGCAGGCGGCCCCCACUUGUGGAUCCGCGGGCUCUCGCCUGGCCCGCUCCUCCGCUCGCUCUUUAUCUCCAAUUAUAAAGCAGCGCCAGGUUUUGUAGUCAGCCACCACCAGACUCCAAAGGCUUUCAGUGUCAGGCCAUCAGGAAAUUAACUCAUCACACAGUGACAGCUGCUAUUUUUUCCCCCUUACAUGUCAGAUGGAUCGCCCGCUGAAGCUAAUAAUGAAUCACCAAUCCCUGAUUAGAAGGUGCUUCCGAAACGUAUAACUGCCAUCUGAGCUAACUUUUUUCUUCAUGUAAAAUGAUAUGGCCCUAGAGGAGUAGAAAGCGAAUUGUAUUCUUCAACAAGAUGGAACAGGAGGAGGUUGCUUAAGUGAGCUGUGUGCUCUCCUCAAUUGUAGGCUAAUGUUUAACAGUGAAAUAAGUGAGAACUUGCGGCUCCUUUCUUAGUUUGCUGAACAGACGACCUCUCUGGUUUUCCUAAUUCUCUUCCUAGAACUAGGUUAGGAUUCCAAGCUGGCCCCUCAGGUCUUUCCUCCUUCCUGCCAUCGUUUUCUGUCUCUGUGCUCCAGAAAACAAAAGAUUUGACAGAACUGACAAAUGUGAAGAAUGUCCAUCGGUCCAAGAAUUUCCUAGAUGCUGGGUUCCCGGGCAGCAGAGCUCUGGUCCCCUAGGGGGUAGGGAGGGGUGCUGGGCCGGAGCUGUGCAGUGUGGCCUGCGUGUGGCCAGGCUGGGGCCUCCGUGGGGUCUUUGCUGUAGUUUAUUCGGUGACCUGCAAAGACCCACUGUCUGUCCACACUUCCAGCUUGAGCUGACGCAAUCUUAACACAUUCACUUGCAUCUUCGAAGUAAACCAAAUAGCAGGAGGGACGUCCUUGGUGUCUCCCAGGUGAUGUGUGUCCUGGGUCAUGGUGGGAGAGGUGUCAACUGUUGGGUGACUCCUGAAGCGUCCCGGGGUGGGGGGUUGCCUACUUGGGCCACAGUGUCUCAUGACAGUGACAGUUGGUGGCUAAAACUCUCUCUCUCCAUCCUCUGUGGACAGGCUGCUGGCUUGAACGGUGGUCCCUAAACUCUAUGUCCACGUGGACAGUGGGCCCUGCUGCGUGCUGGGUGUCCUUGGGGAUCUGUCAUUUAAUGGGCUGUGGCUUAACACAAAGAGUGGCCUUCCUGGAUUAGAGACUCGAGACUCUAAUUUUUCUUUUCUUUUUUUUUUUUUUUACCUCUUUAAAGUGUCCCUUUCUCCUCUAGCUAAAACCCCAAGGAAGGCUGUGAGCUUGUCUGUGUCUCUCUCACAGUCACUCCCUGCUGCAGGAAGUGUGGCCGGGUCGUGGAGUCGGCCACGCCUCGUUAUUCCGAGGCCCACGUUUGUGUACGUGCUUCUUUGACUCCCUUACAUUCUGAUAGUUGUGUAAUGAGAGAGAAAAGAGAGGGAACAUGAACCCAGCUCUAUGGGUAAUUACAGGAUACACUAGCUUGGUGAAUCCUUUGCAAGCCUUCUGAGCCUCGAAACACCUUCUGUACAAUUUUUUUAUGCAAAGGCCUGCUCUUUUCAUUGUGCGUACAACGUGAUUGCUGGUUUGACACUGCAGGCUACACUGGUUUUAUGAAGGAUUAAAUGCCACCUGAGACAUAUUUAUCCUAAAUAAAUCACAAACGGUAAACUGCA
rnacentral:lncRNA from 12 species